rnacentral:rRNA from 1 species
AACGAACGCUGGCGGCGUGGAUAAGACAUGCAAGUCGAGCGCUGAUUCCGGGGUAGCAAUAUUCCGGGGUCGGAGCGGCGCAAGGGUGCGUAACACGUGGGUGACCUGCCCCAAAGUGUGGGAUAACAGUCCGAAAGGAUUGCUAAUACCUCAUGUGGUUAUCGGGUUUAGAAACCGAUAACUAAAGCAGCAAUGCGCUGUGGGAGGGGCAUGCGUCCCAUCAGCUAGUUGGUAGGGGAACGGCCUACCAAGGCGACGACGGGUAGGGGACCUGAGAGGGUGGCCCCCCACAAUGGAACUGAAACACGGUCCAUACACCUACGGGUGGCAGCAGUAGGGAAUAUUGCUCAAUGGGCGAAAGCCUGAAGCAGCAACGCCGCGUGUGCGAUGAAGGCCUUCGGGUCGUAAAGCACUUUUCUAAGAGAUGAGAAAGGACAGUAUCUUAGGAAUAAGUCUCGGCUAACUACGUGCCAGCCGCCGCCGUAACAC